UGAUGCGUGGAUUUGUACACACUGCUGUAGUCACUUGUCUAAUCAUGUCCUAUUAUUUGGGUCUCCUAGAUCUUCCUUCUGCACUUCCUCAAGAGUGUCACUAUCUGAAGUUACAGUGCUUUGAUCUCCAGAUUAGGGGAGGGACCAGGUCUGAAGAAGCUUCGUCUAGGAAGAGCCCAGAGGCGCUUUGAUGAGCAUUUGGGUUUGGAUUGUGGUGUGCCCCCAAGUCUGUGCUCUGCUCUAAGCAGAUGCUUUUUACUGUCCACCUGCUCUGUCCUACUUAAUGACUAGAUUAGAAAAGGAGUUUCCUUUUCCUCUUUAGUGCGUAUGAGUUGGGGUGCCUGUGUCUUACUCUUCUCCCUCCCUCUGAGUAACAGAAUCAUGCAGCUUUUGCACAGCUGGCAUUGAUCUGAUAGUAGCAAGAUGCUAUGUCUUGAUGAUCCUUACUGGGUUUCCAUGCAGAAGAAUCAUAAUUAAAAUAACUAAUUGAAUUGUUGCUUAGAAAGAGUUAGGGUAUAUUAAAAAAGGAAGAAAGAAAAACCUCUAUGUGUUCAACAUUCGGACAUGCUAACAGUGGUUUAAGUUUCUAAAGUGCUUACCAGAUGCUGAAGGGGAGGAGAAAGCUCUUCUGUGUAUGAAUAUUUUAAGCCCUGUUAGAGAGCAGCCUUUGAAAACUCCCCUAUCUGGUCCUGCUUUCUGACCUAUGUCUGCCUUUUCAGGGUAAUCUUGUGGCUCAAGUGAUAGCAUUUAAAAGCUUUAGCCUUUUAAUCCUGCUUCUUCCAGUUGUGAGCCCUGAGCUGCUUCAGUGCACUUCUGCCAUGUCUACUGUUUGGUCUCUUUGUGCUCUUCAUUACUUGGGUGCAAUAGCAACUUCUCUACUCUGUGCAUUCCAUCUUUCAAAUUAUGUAAAGUUCUUCAUUUUUUUCUCUGAGGGUGUAGGGGUGGGGGAGUCAGCAUGAUUACAUUUUAAUGUAGAAAAUGUGACAUCUGGAUAUAAAAUGAAAAUAAAUAUUAAAUUAAAU
rnacentral:lncRNA from 1 species